UACAGAGGGGGCGAGCGUUAUUCGGAAUUAUUGGGCGUAAAGGGCGCGUAGGCGGCCUUUCGAGUGACGGGUGAAAUCCCUCGGCUUAACCGAGGAACUGCCUGUCAGACUGGAAGGCUUGAGACCGGGAGAGGUGAGUGGAAUUCCCAGUGUAGCGGUGAAAUGCGUAGAUAUUGGGAGGAACACCAGUGGCGAAGGCGGCUCACUGGACCGGUACUGACGCUGAGGCGCGAAAGCGUGGGGAGCAAACAGG
rnacentral:rRNA from 1 species